GUGUUAAAAAGAGGCACGAAGAACGCUAGUGCGUAGCCGUUGUACUUUCUGGUGGUAUCGUCACGUUCCAUCGCUAUCUCUUCAUUCAAGGAGAAAUAUAAACCAUGGACGAAUCGCGCAUUAAACGGUGGCCGCAAUAUUUAGCAGCGCUUACAGUAACUGAUGUAGAAUCAGAGGAGAACACAGAAGAAAUGGAGCACACGUUCUUAGAAUGAAAGGAACAUAGAAACAUUGCUGCCAAUAAUGAUUCGUUAUUGCUCCCAAGUCGCAAGGACGCGCAAGUUCAACUUUUGCAGUAACAUUCAUUAUACUGUAGACUGUGGGCUUUCUAAAAAUAUAAUAUGCGUUUAAUUACGAACGUCCUACCUAUGGAUAAAUGAUAAAUUUUUCAAUAUCUCAAGUAUGAUUUCAUACAUACCAUUGAUUUUUAAGCCUCCGCAUGCUCAAUAUAUU